CUUCCUUCCUACACAUUUUCUCAGCUCCACUGCGCAAUCUCCUCAAGGUUUGCCUACGUUGAAGAAAUUCUCCUCCUCUCCCCGACGAGGGUUCUGCAACACCCUCUCUCACUGCUCCCCCUCUACGUACAGGUUUGAAACCAGACU